ACCGCUCCCUGUUCAGAUGCACCAAUCAGGGCCAUGGGGGGGGGUGUCUAACUGCGUGUCAAUCACUGCUCAUGCACACGCAUUCAUUCUCCCUUGUGGGGGGAGGGGCUUAGGAGACCGUUUUGUGCUUUAGCGGAAAGUGGGGAGGGACCGAGAAGUUGUCGAUGUUCAAUUUUUUUGGCUAAGUCCUGGAUCUUCACAAUCCCACCUACAGCACCUUUAAGGAAACAAAAGUACAUAUUUAUAGUUUACAUCUUAUGUUCUACAGAAUCUGCUUACUGUGGUGAUUGAUUUACACUUCAUUGUUAAAAUUUCUUAUUAUAAUGUAUCUCAUGACAUAGUCAACAUAUAUCUAUAUACCAAAAAUAUCUAUUUAAACAUCUGUUAAACCCACAGACAUUUAGUUUGUAAAGACACCAAAUAUAUAUAUAUAUAAAGUUUGACUCAAUUUGCAAAAAAUGCUGCAAUAUCUUGAUUUUUUUCUAUUUCAUGUGGAUGCACAGAAAACAUAUUGCUGAAUAUUUCAUUAUGUUAUGAAGCUAUAUUAAAGAUUAAGGCCUAUUACAUGCCUAUAGUGUCUACAGACCAUAGUAUAACAUAACACAAUAACACAACAACCACAUAUCUCACAUACAUAAAAAUCACUCACAGAAAUUUUGAGAAUUGUUGAGUUAACAAUUUCUGAAGUGAUUACAAAAGGUCUGGUACGGACUGACCAUGUGAUGUAUGGGUCGUUAUACCGGGUAUAAAAAAGUUAAUGAUAUAAUAGAACAGAUUGUGUGAAAGGGUAUUGCUUAAUUACUCAUCUCUUAAGCCAUUUUUAUUUGUUUUGUGAAUACUGUAAGAUGCUUUAUGAGUCAAAGAAAUCUGUAAAUAUGUGAUUGUAAAAAUAAAAACUGUAAAAUAAAGCAGCUGUUGAACACAA